rnacentral:lncRNA from 1 species
UUCACAGUUCAGUUAAAUAUCCUCAUCACAUAAACUCCUCAUUUAACCCCAAACAGUCGUCUUACUCUAAUUUAGCCCAAGGUUAGUCAGAAACAUAACAGUACAUCAGUCAACAAACUAAAUAUUCAUAAUAUCCUCCUCAGUCUACAAGGGCACAACCAUGACGUCUCCUUAGCUCACAAGAACACAACCAUAACAAUAUCAUACAUUUAGUCUAAACCAAAACACACCAGUUCAAAACUACCCCUAUAUAGGAAACAUCUACGAGUUUCAGUCAUUCCACAUCCACAUCAAUCCAUACAUGUAUAUAUAAAUUUCUCCCAGUCAACACAGUAGACAUUACACAUUAAGUUCACAUCCAAACAUACAUCAUAACCGUCAUCCCAAUUCAGUUUAGAUAUAACAUUACAAUACAUACAGUCGAUACAUCUUAAUUUUUAUUGUUGAGUCCAGUAGAAA